ensembl:snRNA U1 U1 spliceosomal RNA
AAAUAAAAUUGAUUUAGGACAAAAAAAAAAAAAAAAGGUGGUUCUCCCAGGGCGAGGCUCAUCCAUUGCACUCCGGGUGUGCUGACCCCUGCGAUUUCCCCAAAUGCGGGAAACUCGACUGCAUAAUUUGUGGUAGUGGGGGACUGCGUUCGCGCUCUCCCCUG